GUCCUGACCAGAUCUAUGACUUCAACCUCUUAUUUACAGCCCAAUGCUCUUUCUGCUCCUACCAUGCUGCCCUCUGACCACAGCUAGGAGUAGAAAGCUGGGAGAAUAAGAACCAAGAUGGUUAAGAUUCAAUGGAUACAAAGGAAGAAGGAUAACGUUCAAGGCUAGAGAGCUUUGGAGGCAUCCGUACUACUCAGCAAUCAAGAGUUAUGGCUAUACCAGUGCUUGGAAGAAUUCUGCUAUCAAGCAUUCAGAAGAAGUUUAUUUUUAACCAAAGAGCAGCUAUAAUUGAAUCUGACCCCAAGGUAUAUGGGAUCAAGAUUCCAAACCAAGAAUCAAACCUGCACCUCCUUCCCGACUUGCAGGAUCUUAGUUCUCUGACCAGGGAUCAAACCUGUGCCUUUGUCAGUGAAAGUACAGACUCAUAACCACCAGGAAUUCGCUCUUCUAUUCUGCCUGUAGUGUUUGAUGGCCAGAAGACUGAAUAUGAGAUGUGAAUGCUGCAUUGCAGAAGCUUUCAGCAAGAUCUUUAAAACUAAUGCCCUGGGAAAGUGAAGCAUCCAGUUACUAAUUACAGAUAAAGGAAUUACCAGGAUUCAAUUUUCAACAGAGCUACCUAAUUAUCCACACUCAUUGCUGCCUCAUUAUGAACACAUGUAUGUUGAACAAUUAGAAUUUUAUCGCUAAACUGAAGCUGAAUUUUUAUAAAUUAAAAUACAUUAAAGAGACUCUCUCAUGGUGAAUUUUAUAAGAAGGUUUCAAAGAUGUUUAGAAACAUAGUUCUUGCAACCCCAAAUGAAAAGAAUAUAUGAAAUUUCACUGCAGCAAACUUCAGUUUAUAUACUGCUUCCAUUUGAUGCUUUUUUAUUUUAAAUGCUCAUACGUUAAACCUCAUCCAAAGGCUCUUUUGAGUAAAUUACUCACUGUGUAACAUUUUCUCACAUAAAAUGUGGAGAAGCAGCCUCCUGGAAGUCAUUAAAAAUAUAUUUCUAAGUAUACAUUUCUGACAUAGAUGUUCCAAAAAAUCAAUUCAGUUAAAAAAAUAUUGGUCUCACUUGGCUUGUUAAAAUAAGUUGUAUGCUAAUAACAUGAAGGAUAUUUUUUAAAUCUAUAACUUCUGUUAUCGCUUAAUGUUUCUCAAUUUUUUGGAAUUAAUUUAAUUAUUCAAGAUAUAUUUUGACAUUUACUAUGUCCCUCAGUGUUUGGGGCUUCCCUGGUGGCUCAGAUGGAAAGGGAUCUGCCUGCAAUGCAGGAGACUUGAGUUCAAUCCCUGGGUAGGGAAGUUCCCCAGGAGAAGGAAAUGGUUAUCCACUCCAGUAUUCUUGCUUGGAAAAUUCUUUGGACAGAGCAGCCUGGGGAGCUAUAGCCCAUGGGGCUGCAAAGGGCUGAGCAACUAACACACUCAGUGCUUGGAGUUGGCAAGAGGCUAUCUGGUGGUAUUCUCAAAAGGUGAAGGAAAUAAAAAAAAAAAAAAAAGAACAGGUCCAGGGAAGAAGGACCAAGAUGGAAAGCUGUUAAGUGUGAUCUACUUGCAAGAUAGCUAGAUAUCCAUGACUAAUAGGCAACAAAAGAUGAGGAGAAUUAUCAAGUUAGAGAUAUAAAUUGUUAUGAAUGAGACUGUGCAGGCUGUGUGUACAGGAUGAAAAGAGGGAGGAGAAGCAAAUCCUGUGAAACAUUAACUUUUAAGGGAAAGAUGGAAUUAGAGGAGCUUGAAGAGGAAGCUGAGAAGGAGGAGCCAGAAAGAAAGAAAAAAUUCCAGCAGCAUGUGGUGCCAGGAACUUCAUGGGAGCAGCACAUUCUGAGAAAGAGAAAGUGAGAACUAAGUUCAGAGCUGAGAAGUAUGGCUUUGGUUGACCAUUGGCUUGGGUUGACCAUUGAAGAAAUCAGGCUGACUGUCAAGGGGACCUCUUCAAGUGUGGGGAAGGGAAAGGGAAGAAGAGGAGAUGGUGAUUGCAGGAUUCUCUCAACUUGUAGAUCUGGAGUUUUUGUUUUAAAACUCUAUAGAAAGGAUUUUAGUUUUGUAAAAAAGCUAAGGCUUGAAACUGUUUAGUAGCUCUUGGAAGGGGACCUGUGGCAAAGAGGAUAGAGAUAAAAGCCUAAAAGAGACAAUAUCACUGAUCUCACAGGAAAAAGAUAUAUGUUCAGCAAUAACCUGAAUAAGAUGUAAUUAUAAAUAAAUAAAUGAAAAGUUUUCCCUAAA